GCGCAUUUAGCACAAAUGGUAAGAGCAUCACUCUUGAAAGUUGAGGUUGUGGGUUUGAUUCCCACAGUGCACA
rnacentral:tRNA from 1 species